GUUAGCUUAGUUUAUGAAAAUAUUAGAUUGUGAUUCUAAAGAAGAGAUGAAAUUCUUAGUUAACA
rnacentral:tRNA from 1 species